CGCGUAGGUGGAUUGAUCAGUCGUAUGUGAAAGGCCCGGGCUUAACCCGGGAACUGCAUGUGAUACUGUUGGUCUAGAGUAGAGUAGAGGGAAGUGGAAUUUCCGGUGUAGCGGUGAAAUGCGUAGAUAUCGGAAGGAACAUCGGUGGCGAAGGCGGCUUCCUGGACUCAUACUGACGCUGAAGCGCGAAAGCGUGGGGAGCAAACAGGAUUAGAUACCCUGGUAGUCCACGCUGUAAGCGAUGAGAACUAGAUGUUGGAGGGAUAAAACUCUUUAGUAUCGAAGCUAACGCGUUAAGUUCUCCGCCUGGGAGUACGGCCGCAAGGUUAAA
rnacentral:rRNA from 1 species